rnacentral:rRNA from 1 species
CCCUACGGGGGGCAGCAGUGAGGAAUAUUGGUCAAUGGUCGGGAGACUGAACCAGCCAAGCCGCGUGAGGGAGGAAGGUACAGAGUAUCGUAAACCUCUUUUGUCAGGGAACAAAGGCGGGGACGUGUCCCCGGAUGAGUGUACCUGAAGAAAAAGCAUCGGCUAACUCCGUGCCAGCAGCCGCGGUAAUACGGAGGAUGCGAGCGUUAUCCGGAUUUAUUGGGUUUAAAGGGUGCGCAGGCGGUCUGUUAAGUCAGCGGUCAAAGCCCGGGGCUCAACCCCGGCCCGCCGUUGCAACUUGCAGU